rnacentral:rRNA from 1 species
GNNNGAUCCUGGCUCAGGACGAACGCUGGCGGCGUGCCUAAUACAUGCAAGUCGAGCGGACCUUAAAAGCUUGCUUUUGAAAGGUCAGCGGCGGACGGGUGAGUAACACGUGGGCAACCUGCCUGUAAGACUGGGAUAACUUCGGGAAACCGGAGCUAAUACCGGAUAAUAUAAGGAACCUCCUGGUUCUUUAUUGAAAGAUGGUUUCGGCUAUCACUUCAGAUGGGCCCGCGGCGCAUUAGCUAGUUGGUGAGGUAACGCCUCACCAAGGCRACGAUGCGUAGCCGACCUGAGAGGGUGAUCGGCCACACUGGGACUGAGACACGGCCCAGACUCCUACGGGAGGCAGCAGUAGGGAAUCUUCCACAAUGGACGAAAGUCUGAUGGAGCAACGCCGCGUGAGCGAUGAAGGCCUUCGGGUCGUAAAGCUCUGUUGUUAGGGAAGAACAAGUGCGAGAGUAACUGCUCGCACCUUGACGGUACCUAACCAGAAAGCCACGGCUAACUAC